GUAUAUUCCGACCUACGGUAGUUCCAAAAUUGGGUGCAGUCAUUUAAUAAUAUCACGUGAUGGUGAUUAGUUAUAAUUGUAGCUUGUAUUCCGCAUUGUGCAAUGUAAAUUAAACAGUUCAGAAUUAAAAUACCAGUUUAAUGACCUUAAAACUUUUCAAUGCUUACAUCUACAUGUAGCUAUAAUGCAUGUACCAUAGUAUGUACUGAUACAUAAUGCUAAUUCAAUUGCUAUACCUUAGGUUACCUUAAGGAGACAAUUAUUCGUGUGUACUUAUUUUAGCGAUUUUCAUGAUACCGACAUUUGGCUGGUAUUUUAUUUAGUGUUUUCAACAUUUUAAUAGUAACUAUUAAUAAUUUAAUCAAAAAUUAAAGUUAGUGCAGACUUAAGUUAGCGAUUUUUCAAAAAUAGCUAAAAUUUGCUAAAUUAAAUACCCGCUAAAAAUUGUCUCCUUAAGGUAAUUUUACAUUCAUAUAUUCUUAUUCUUAAUCUUAGGUUUGUAUCAAAAUUUUAAAAAUCACAAGCACAUAGUAGCAGUAAGUAAACACUUGUGUGGAUCAGCAACUGAUUUAACUCUUAGAUGUCUAACCAAAUACCAUUUGGAACGUUUAACAGUCAUGCCUCCUUUAGCCACACCUCCUUUAUCUGGCAUUAUAAUAGCACUAUGCUGUCAUCAACGCUGUCAAUGGGAUAGUAUAUAUGGAAUUGAGCUAUGGAAAGAACUGGGGUUCAAUUCAAUUGACUUCCACUUGAUAACACUAAUGAGUAGCUGGGCAGUAUGUGGUCAGCGAUCAGCAGAUAAAGAUACUAAAGGUUACAUUCCUCACGCUAAAGAACCAAUGGGAUUAAAAUGUAAGGAGCUAAUUAAUCUAAUACGUGUACAUGAACUACGCAAGAACGGUUUCCAAACUCAUCUCUUGUAUUAUGUGGAUAGGAGGACUUCAUUAGAGAAUGUGUUAUUGAUAGCUCUACCUCAUUAAUAUUCAUGCAUGGGCGUGGCUCAUGAAUUUCUUAAUUAUAUUCAUUGAUUGUAAA